UCCUGACUGACCGAUAGUGAACCAGUACCGUGAGGGAAAGGCGAAAAGAACCCCGGCGAGGGGAGUGAAAAAGAACCUGAAACCGUGUACGUACAAGCAGUGGGAGCACGCUUAGGCGUGUGACUGCGUACCUUUUGUAUAAUGGGUCAGCGACUUAUAUUCUGUAGCAAGGUUAACCGAAUAGGGGAGCCGAAGGGAAACCGAGUCUUAACUGGGCGUUAAGUUGCAGGGUAUAGACCCGAAACCCGGUGAUCUAGCCAUGGGCAGGUUGAAGGUUGGGUAACACUAACUGGAGGACCGAACCGACUAAUGUUGAAAAAUUAGCGGAUGACUUGUGGCUGGGGGUGAAAGGCCAAUCAAACCGGGAGAUAGCUGGUUCUCCCCGAAAGCUAUUUAGGUAGCGCCUCGUGAAUUCAUCUCCGGGGGUAGAGCACUGUUUCGGCAAGGGGGUCAUCCCGACUUACCAACCCGAUGCAAACUGCGAAUACCGGAGAAUGUUAUCA
rnacentral:rRNA from 2 species